GACUGCGCGGCCGGACGCCGGAGCCCUGGAGGAGUACGCUCGGGAGCCUUGCCCAUGGCGAAUUUUGGACGAUUGCGGAGGAGCCUUCACUAUGGGUGUCAUCGGUGGUGGAGUCUUCCAGGCCAUCAAGGGCUUCCUCAACGCCCCUGUGGGAAUUCGGCACCGACUGAGAGGUAGUGCCAACGCUGUGAGGAUCCGAGCCCCCCAGAUUAGAGGUAGCUUCGCGGUGUGGGGCGGGGGGGGCUGUUCUCCACCAUCGACUGUGGCCUGGUGCGCCUGCGGGGCAAAGAAGAUCCCUGGAACUCCAUCACUAGCGGAGCAUUGACCGGGGCCGUGCUGGCGGCCCGCAGUGGCCCAUUGGCCAUGGUGGGCUCAGCAAUGAUGGGGGGUAUUCUCUUGGCCCUCAUAGAGGGUGUUGGCAUCCUCCUUACUCGCUACACUGCCCAGCAGUUCCGCAAUGCACCCCCGUUCCUGGAGGACCCCAGCCAGCUGCCCCCUAAGGAGGGUACCCCAGCCCCAGGCUAUCCCAGCUAUCAGCAGUACCACUGAGGAAGUGACUGCCUAUCAUCACCACCGUGGGAGCCCCUCCUCCGUUCCUUCCCUGAUGAUCUACCUCGAAGGGAGGGCUGGCUCCCAGUUGGCCCCGGGACCCUCCAGAGAGGGCCUCUACUCUCCUCCCUUGUCCCAGGGUGGGGGGUGGGGCACCCCAGCUGCCGUGAUGGAUGGGUCCCCUUCUCAGGGCACCCCAACCCCAAGUUCACAUGUAACAAGUUCUUACCCCAGCCCCUUUUCCUGGCGCCCUGAUGAGUAUUUAAAGCCAGUUUUGAAAAAAA